AUUGAACGCUGGCGGCAGGCCUAACACAUGCAAGUCGAGCGAGCGGCGGACGGGUGAGUAAUGUAUGGCGACUGGCCGAUUGAGGGAGCUAACUACUGGGAACGGUGGCUAAUACCGCAUACUGUCGGAUAACCUAUAUGGGAUUAGCUAGUAGGUAAGGUACUGGCUUACCUAGUCGACGAUCCCUAGCUGGUCUGAGAGGAUGAUCAGUCACAAUGGUACUGAGACACGGCCCAGACUCCGACGGAGGCAGCAGUGGGGAAUAUUGGACAAUGGGCGGAAGCGUGAUUCAGCCAUGCGGCGUGUAUGAAGAAGGCCCUAGGAUUGUAAAGUACUUUAAGUUUGGAGGCGUUACCGACAGAAUAAGCACCGGCUAACUCCGUGCCAGCCGCCGCGGUAAUAC
rnacentral:rRNA from 1 species